UCCCUCGUACCUCGCACGUCACUUCCGCUCUCCUCGUGAGAUCCGAUCUUCCGAGUAUCGCGUUGACGGGAUUUCUGAGAAGUUCAAUCCUCGCCGAAGGGGUUUUCUUCUUUCCCAAUCUACAGACGCCGGAACAUAUCCCGGGAAGGAACACGAUUCGAGUAUCGACUGCGAGCCUGUUGUUUUCCCCUUCCCCAACCCCAGGCUUACUGAGGUACACGAAGCAGGAACGUAAUUGGGCUCUGGGAAGCUAGCAGAUCGUGGGUGAGCUCAAGACUUUUAUCUCCCCGGGUUACCUUGGUGAUCUCCAUGGUAUUCGCCACGGUUAUUCUUGUAUUGAAUAUGAUUAUGUUAUGUUGCGUAGACGUCAAGGAUUAUGCGUAUUUUUUUAAUUUACUGGUUUUAUCAUUUUCCGCUGCUUAUCGGCAUGUUUAUCAAUAUGAUUUCAAACUCUGAAAUGUCAAUAAGCUUCUUUUGGAUAGCCAGUCUCGUUACACAUGAAUUGAUGAUAGAGGAAGAGGUUUAGAUGUAGCAAAUAUCCGAAUUUGGUGAACUUAUCUUGAUAGUGCGAGCCGCGUAUUUCCUGGGAAUGGCUAAAGACAAUAUUUAUUUUUUUCACGAAUAACAUUUUGGUUGAUUUAUUUGACGCUGACGUGUCCCAGAAUAUCUUCCAGCUUCAGAGAUAAUUGCUCUUGAUGUCGAUCAUGUCCUGGUAAAAAUGAAAGAAAUGUUGUAGAAAGAUUAAUAUUAAGAUCUUUCGCAUUUACAUGGUGAUAUGGAAUUGUUUCUCAUUUGUCAUAUUUGAUGUAAGAUGCAUAAAUGACCCAUUGUCAAACGUUAGGAUGUGGGUAAAAGUGCGGAACAAUUCCUUAAUGUUUGAUGGGGACAUUCAGAUGUCAAAAACUGGUGUGUUAUAACUGGAUCCCUUAUUUAUAUGAAUCAUAAUUCAUGAUUGUAAUUAAAAACAUUAAUGAUUUUUUGUUAAGCGAGAAAACAGAGACUCUUCAUCAUCUCUGGAUGCGUGAUUCUUUUAUGCUGGUCAUGGGCGAAAAUGUAACUUUUUUUAUUGACUUUGACGUGCAUCCUUUUGAUGAUUUUGUGAGUUUUUAUCUUAUGACACUCGUCUGGCUACUUUGCUUUAUCUGUGUUAAGAAAUUUUUGUAUUACAGUGGUGCUGCCAUAGAUAUGACAUUCUUUGCUGUCGUAUUUGACAAUCAGCAUAUAACUUCAAUGUCAGCUUUUUUAUUUAUUUUCUUCCGUGUGGUGUCUUCCAUCAGUCUAAUGUAUUCACCUCCAAUUGUGCUUUUUUGAAAUCAGCACAAAAUAUUUGCGAUUCCCUACAUCCACAGCAUUGACAAUUAAAUCUCUCCCACAUCUUGGAUUUCAAACUUGAAAUGAAGAAAAUGUCUGAGGGAGAGGCCAGAAAGGUGUCAAGCCAAGAUUUACAGUUGGUAAGGAAAUUGUUUCCUGCUUUACGUUAUUCUGAGCACCUUUUAACUGGUUAAAGUUGCAUUGUGUAAGCUUUACAUCAUGCAUCUAGUUUCCUACCUUUCCAUGCAUUUUUUUUCUGCAGAUUAUUUUCCUUAUGUUUCAAUUUCUGUUUCUGCUACAGCUUCCACUUCUGUUUACAUCGAUGUUUGUGUUUAUGUAUUUAUAGACAUAUUUUUAUUGACAAUUGGCCGGUGCUCAAGAAAAAUAAAACAGAUUUGGUUUAAAAGGAAAAGACUGAUAAUUUCUCCGUCAGUUCCUUUUUCUGUGUGAUUUUAUUUUAUUUUCCAUUCUCUCCUUCCAGCCUCAGCCUCUUUUUCAAUGUAUUUUUAAAUUUGUCUGUGCACCUGUGCAAGUAUAAAUAUACCCUCGUGCACAUACCUCCUGAAUCUCAAUUUUCCCACACCUCUUAGCUUUUAUUGGACGAUGGGUCCCCAUUGAUACAUGUGGAACACGUGCUUGGCUUUGAACUUAGGGAACUUUCAUGUUUGCAUCCGUUAAAAAUACCUAAUAAUUUAGAAAACAAGAAAAAGAGCUCCAUUUUUUAUGUACUGGGCCUUCCUGUAAGAAUUUUUUUUACUACUUUUCUCAAUGUUUAACACUAAGUAAUCAAACAUCGUGACAAAAAUUCAUGAUCCUCAGUGAAAUCUUAUACAUUCGAACUCCUAUCAAUUUAUUCUCUUGGUUUUAGGGUUUUAUAAUAUUUUAGAAAUCUUACUGUGUAAAUAAUUUUUCCCACCCAGUUCUCGUUUCUGUGACUAUUCAUUAAUGAUUGCUUUAGCUCUGUCAUGCAUAUCUCGUUCCCCAUAUUUUUGUCUCUUAUGUCUGUUCUGUACCCUUAACAUGACAGUAGAGUAGUUCGUUGGAUUCCUGCUUGUUGAUAUGCCUAUCUUUUGUAGAGCCUCGAGAUUAUGGUUCAGGACGUAAUUCAUGAUGGUAGCCUUUACUGAAAGAUGUACACUUAUGCGAGGAUGAAUUUUCAGCCUGUAAAAAGGGCAUGGGUGAUGAACUCCAAUAUCAUCAAAGAACAAGUGAUAUUGACUCAUGAACCUGUUAGUGAUUUAUAUGAUAUGGAUAUGCUCUUUGUUGUGUCCAUUGCCUGUUGUUGUCUUAGAGAGUUGAGAUGGUUUGAUUACUUGUCAGAUUAAAAAAAAUUGUAUGAAAUUUUCUGUAUCCCAGUUAUAGUUUAAACUAAUAAUCUGCUCAUCGUGUUCGGUGAUUUGGAAUCAGUUAUUACUAAAUAACUAAAAUUUUACUGAUAAAGUUAGCAAUAAAUUAAAUAAUUAAUAAACACACAAAAUGAGAUUGAAAAUGCAUAACAAAAAAUAUUCUCUAUUUUUUUCCUUUUUAGAUUAAGACAUGAUUGCUGCGUUAAGAACUAGUGCUAAAGAGUUGUCUUUUCUAGGAUGAACUUGGCUGAUCCACUUAAACAUUGCUGAUUUUUGUCAAACUUAAAUUUAUUAUUGUGGUCUGUCUACUUUGAUGUUAGAUUGGAUGUCCUAUCUAUGCAAGAAAGGCUUUGUUGAAUUUGAAUAUGGAAGGCCCUCUUAGUGACGACUUUUUGUCC
rnacentral:lncRNA from 1 species